CAAAGAAGGAAAAAUCUAGGUAGUAUUGGAUGGCUUAAAACUUAAAAAAUUUGGCGGUGUUUUAAUCUUAUUAGAGGAACUUGUUUUAUAAUCGAUAAUACUCGACAAAUCUUACUUAAGUUAAUAAUUUGUAUAUCGUUGUGACAAUAAUAUUUUAUAACAAUUAUUGAGGGUAAUUAUAUUUUUAAUAUCAGAUCAAGGUUCAGUUUAUAUUUAAGUGAAAAGUGGGUUACAAUAUAAAGAUAUAUUACGGAUUUUAUUAUUCAAAGUUAGAUGAAGGAGGAUUUAAAAGUAUUUUCAUAAUAAUAUGUUGAAUUGAAUUAGCUCUGAAACAUGC
rnacentral:rRNA from 1 species